rnacentral:rRNA from 1 species
GAUGAACGCUGGCGGCGUGCUUAACACAUGCAAGUCGAACGAUGAAGCCCAGCUUGCUGGGUGGAUUAGUGGCGAACGGGUGAGUAACACGUGAGUAACCUGCCCUUAACUCUGGGAUAAGCCUGGGAAACUGGGUCUAAUACCGGAUAGGAGCGUCCACCGCAUGGUGGGUGUUGGAAAGAUUUAUCGGUUUUGGAUGGACUCGCGGCCUAUCAGCUUGUUGGUGAGGUAAUGGCUCACCAAGGCGACGACGGGUAGCCGGCCUGAGAGGGUGACCAGCCACACUGGGACUGAGACACGGCCCAGACUCCUACGGGAGGCAGCAGUGGGGAAUAUUGCACAAUGGGCGCAAGCCCGAUGCAGCGACGCCGCGUGAGGGAUGACGGCCUUCGGGUUGUAAACCUCUUUCAGUAGGGAAGAAGCGAAAGUGACGGUACCUGCAGAAGAAGCACCGGCUAACUACGUG